rnacentral:rRNA from 1 species
AUUGAACGCUGGCGGCAGGCCUAACACAUGCAAGUCGAGCGGAUGAAGGGAGCUUGCUCCUGGAUUCAGCGGCGGACGGGUGAGUAAUGCCUAGGAAUCUGCCUGGUAGUGGGGGAUAACGUCCGGAAACGGGCGCUAAUACCGCAUACGUCCUGAGGGAGAAAGUGGGGGAUCUUCGGACCUCACGCUAUCAGAUGCGCCUAGGUCGGAUUAGCUAGUUGGUGGGGUAAAGGCCUACCAAGGCGACGAUCCGUAACUGGUCUGAGAGGAUGAUCAGUCACACUGGAACUGAGACACGGUCCAGACUCAGACGGGAGGCAGCAGUGGGGAAUAUUGGACAAUGGGCGAAAGCCUGAUCCAGCCAUGCCGCGUGUGUGAAGAAGGUCUUCGGAUUGUAAAGCACUUUAAGUUGGGAGGAAGGGCAGUAAGUUAAUACCUUGCUGUUUUGACGUGACCAACAGAAUGAGCACCGGCUAACUUCGUG